GUAGUAUUCCCUCCGUCGCAAAAUUCUUGUCUUACAUUUGUUUAGAUACGGAUGUAUCUAACACUAAAAUGUAACUAGAUACAUCCGUAUUUAGACAAAUUUAAGACAAGAAUUUUGGGACGGAGGGAGUACAAA
rnacentral:pre_miRNA from 1 species